UGCGUAGGCGGAAUGAUAAGUUAGUGGUGAAAGCCCCCGGCUCAACCGGGGAACUGCCAUUAAUACUGUCAUUCUUGAGUAUAGUUGAAGUGGGCGGAAUGUAUCAUGUAGCGGUGAAAUGCUUAGAUAUGAUACAGGACACCGAUAGCGUAGGCAGCUUGCUAAACUAUAACUGACGCUCAGGCACGAAAGCGUGGGGAGCAAACAGGAUUAGAUACCCUGGUAGUCC
rnacentral:rRNA from 1 species